GAACCCUGAGAAUGGGCAAAGAGAUACCUGUUGGUGAUAUUGUUCUUACAUCAGUCAGGGGCAGAGCAGAUGGCAGUCCUUUGUUUAUCCUAACUUGAUGCCAGGCUUAGUGGCCAAAGUUGUUUUAUGCCUAGGACUCAUAA